GCGACCCCAGGACGGGCGAGGCCACCCGCCGAGUUUAAGCAUAUCAAGAAGCGGAGGAGAAG
rnacentral:rRNA from 1 species